UCCUCAAAUUACUCGAAGAAAUGAGAAAACAUUAUAUAUGCCCAAAAAAAAAAAAGAAGGAAAAAGUGAGUUUCUCAUUCAUAAUAUGCAUUUUUAGGCAGUGAGGUUUGAAUGCUGAUCUGAAAGGUUCUCACAUAGAAUUGUGAAAAUAGAAACCCAAUGGAGGAAGAACUUAAAGGAUAAAAAUUUCUCAAAAGAUUUUGCAUUUUUUUUUUUAGUUGAAAAAUUGGUUGCUUCAUUUGGAAGGCUAAUUAUGCGGACAUCGUGUAAACUGUAAAGUUUUAAUCAGAUGAGUGGCUAUUUGAUAUCCUUUUGUUGUUUUGCUGUCUGUCUUCUUUUCUUUUUCUCUGUUUGGUGAAAUCUCUCUUUCUACUUUUCUUUUUGGCUUUCGGAAAGUGUAGAGAAGUUAUACUAAUUUAGUUGUUAAUUAUUUGUACAGCUUGACGUGGGAACUUUAUUUUUUUUCCUUUGCAGCUAAGUAAUGUUAUAAAAAUGAGAUUCGCUGGGAAUCCGGCGAUCUUAUUUUGCUUUUAAAUAUUUUAGGAAUCAGAAAUAUUAAAAAUUAGUUUA